AGCGGCCUGGAGACGAGCAUUCCUCGAUGGGUUGGUUUAUUGGCUCGCCAUGGAUGAUUGCCGUAGGAAUUUUUCCAUCGAGCCGGCAGGUAUAGGGGCACUGAAUAGGUUGCCCUGUAGCCGAUCGCAACCUUGAUUCCGAAGCCAGUUCGCCUGAUCCGCGGUCUCGACACCUUCCGCUGUGACCCGCAUUCCCAAACCGUGCGCAAGUGCGAGGAUGCCGCGGACGAUCGUCUGACUUUUGUCGUCGGUCUCGACAUCCAUGGUCGAACGGGAGAUCGCCCGCGGCAUCUCGGG
rnacentral:sRNA from 1 species